rnacentral:rRNA from 1 species
AUGAAGACCUGUAUGAAUGGCACGACGAGGGCUUGACUGUCUCCUUUUUCCAGUCAGUGAAAUUGAUCCCCCCGUGCAGAAGCGGGGAUUUAAACAUAAGACGAGAAGACCCUAUGGAGCUUUAGACUCUUCGAGCAGACUAUGUUAAACACUCUUUAACAAAAGACUAAACAGUAUAGGCCCUACUCUAAUGUC